AAAGACUUGCACCCAAUACUUUUACAGGAACUGUGCAUGAAGAGAGGGGGAAAAAAAAACCUUGAACAUAGCAACCGAAAGACGGGGAAAGUGACUCUACCUAAUGAAACUGUCCUUCUACAUCUGCCAAUCUGUGCCUUCCUAACAUCUAAACUGCAAAUAAUAUUGGAUGUGCUGAGGAUGCCAAUUUCCUUCUGGUGCCCAAUGAAAAGAGCUGCACGGCUGAAUGAACACCAACAAAUCUCUCUGCAGAAGUUAGUAAGGGCAACGUCGAGGAUCUGCCACAACAUGUCCUUCCAACUCCCGGGCACCAGGAAAAUCCUAACCACUAUUUGGGACACUUGGACGGUCUUCAACUUCACUUUGAAAGAAUAAUCAGAAUUGCUAUCAUUUUUAUAGAGG